UACGGAGGGUGCGAGCGUUGUUCGGAAUCACUGGGCGUAAAGCGCGUGUAGGCGGCCUGCUAAGUCUGAUGUGAAAGCCCGAGGCUCACCCUCGGAAGUGCAUUGGAAACUGGCAGACUGGAGUCCCGGAGAGGAGGGUGGAAUUCCUGGUGUAGCGGUGAAAUGCGCAGAUAUCAGGAAGAACACCCGUGGCGAAGGCGGCUCUCUGGGACGUGACUGACGCUGAGACGCGAAAGCGUGGGGAGCAAACAGG
rnacentral:rRNA from 1 species